rnacentral:rRNA from 1 species
CGCUGGCGGCGUGCCUAACACAUGCAAGUCAACUUGACUGAAGGAGCAAUCUGACAGUAGAGUGGCGCAAGGGUGCGUAACGCGUAAGUAACUUGCCCCAAGGUAAGGAAUAACGUCGAGAAAUCGGCGCUAAUACCUCAUAAUGCAGCGGAUCCGCAUGGAUAUGUUGUUAAAGGUUUACCGCCUUGGGAUAGGCUUGCGUCUGAUUAGCUAGUUGGUGUGGUAACGGCACACCAAGGCUACGAUCAGUAACUGGUCUGAGAGGAUGAUCAGUCACACUGGAACUGAGACACGGUCCAGACUCCUACGGGAGGCAGCAGUGAGGAAUAUUGGGCAAUGCUCGAAAGAGUGACCCAGCAACGCCGCGUGGAGGAUGAAGGUAUUCUAUAUCGUAAACUCCUGUGAGAGCAGACGAAAGACAGAUUAUUAAUCUGGAUGACUGUAUGCUCUGAGGAAGCCCCGGCUAACUACGUG